rnacentral:rRNA from 1 species
GGGUCAGUAGGUUGGUCGUGCCACCGGUACGUACUGGUCUCACUGAUUCCUCCUUCCUGAAGAACCGUAAUGCCAUUAAUUUGGUGUUGCGGGGAAACAGGACUGUUACUUUGAAAAAAUUAGAGUGUUUAAAACAAGCUAACGCUUGAAUACAUUAGCAUGGAAUAAUGAAAUAGGACGAUCGAUCCUAUUUUGUUGGUUCCUAGGAUUGACGUA